GUUAUUUUUGGACUCAAACUGGAGGGAAAGGAAGAAGGGGAAGAAAGUGAUCACAGGUGGAGAAGAUUAUCUUUUCAUAGCACGUGUACGCGGCUUACGUCUUUGCAUCUUAAACUGUUAUUGUUGUACAGUUCAAUAUAAUCUCUGUACAAUCAAGAGAAGAUUGACGAAUGAGUCUGGCGCGCAGUGCCGAGCUCACUCUGCCAUUGCAUAAGACGACGAAGACGAGCACCAAGCGGCAGCAGGACCACGCUGUGACCGCCUGUUCAUUUAAAGCUUCCUCCUCACGUGACAUUUCCGAAACGUCUUGAGACACAACAAGUACUUUAUGGGUAAACAACUAUUUUCCCUCGGGCCGACGCAUUGCAGAACGGAUGAAGAACAGCCAUUACCAGCCCAUUUCUCAACCACAGGUGUACACUGUUGGUUUCCACAACAUCCCAAGAGAGAACCGAAGGACACAGCGGCCUGUCAUACAGUGCAAGUAUAGCUUGGACCAGGAAGUCUUCCAGCCUGCCGCAGGCACACGGAACCAGGGAUUCACUUGCUUACAGAAUGUGUUGUGCCCUGCAGCUAUAUUCUUAACCAUGGGUGGUCACUUGACAUUUCUUCCUCACUUGCCACCUCAAAGUUUGGAAUUAAUUAAACACGGUGGCAAUGAUUGGAGGCGGUUUCAUCUGUUUGACUGCACCCCCACAGACCCAUACACACACUCUCUCUAUC
ensembl:lncRNA